UACGUAGGCAGCAAGCGUUGUUCGGAAUUAUUGGGCGUAAAGAGUGUGUAGGCGGUGUCGUAAGUUUGGUGUGAAAUCUCCUGGCUUAACUGGGAGGGUGCGCCGAAAACUGCGGUACUUGAGGAGUGGAGAGGAAAGCGGAAUACCUGGUGUAGCGGUGAAAUGCGUAGAUAUCAGGUGGAACACCUGCGGUGUAGACGGCUUUCUGGACACUUUCUGACGCUGAGACACGAAAGCGUGGGUAGCAAACAGG
rnacentral:rRNA from 1 species